ensembl:lncRNA
AUGGUGGAGUUCAGGAUCCUGCGAGGAGGAGGCAGGGCACUAAGUAGGAUUGCAACCCUAGACUUCAGGAGAGCAAACUUUGGCCUCUUCAGGGACCUACUUGGAGGAAUCCCAUGGGUUAGGGCCCUAGAAGGAAGGGGUGUUCAAGAGAGCUGGCUAAUAUUCAAACAUCACCUCCUCCAGGCUCAAGAGCAGUGCAUCCCUAUGAGUAGGAAGUCAAGCAAAGGAGGUAGGAGACCUGCAUGGAUGAGCAAGGAGCUCCUGGCAAAACUCAGCCAGAAGAAGAAAGUACACAGAAAGAGGAAAGGGGGACAGGCCACUUGGGAGGAAUAUAGGAACGUUGUCAGAGUAUGCAGGGAUGUGACGAGGAAGGCUAAGGCCCGUUUGGAAUUAAAUCUGGCUAGAGAUGUCAAGGACAACAAGAAGGGCUUCUUCAAAUACAUCAGUAGCAAGAGGAAGACUAGGGAAAAUGUGGGCCCUUUGCUGAAUGGGGUGGGUGCCCUGGUGACGAAGGAUGCAGAGAAGGCAGAGUUACUGAAUGCCACCUUUGCUUCAGUCUUUACUGGUCAGGCCAGCCCUCAGGAACCCCAGACCCUGGAGGCAAGAGAGAAAGUCUGGAGAAAGGAAGACUUUCCCUUGGUCGAGGAGGAUCGGGUUAGAGAUCAUUUAAGCGAACUUGACACUCACAAAUCCAUGGGCCCCGAUGGGAUGCACCCACGAGUGCUGAGGGAGCUGGCGGAUGUUAUUGCUAAGCCACUCUCCAUCAUCUUUGAAAGGUCAUGGAGAACAGGAGAGGUGCCUGAGGACUGGAAGAAAGCCAAUGUCACCCCAGUCUUCAAAAAGGGCAAGAAGGAGGACCCAGGGAACUACAGGCCAGUCAGCCUCACCUGCAUCCCUGAAAAGGUGAUGGAGCAGCUCAUCCUGGAGGCCAUCUCCAAGCAUGUGGAGGACAAGAAGGUGAUCAGGAGUAGCCAGCAUGGCUUCACCAAGGGGAAGUCAUGCUUAACCAAUCUGAUAGCCUUCUAUGAUGGAAUGACUGGCUGGGUAGUUGAGGGGAGAGCAGUGGAUGUUGUCUAUCUUGACUUCAGCAAGGCUUUUGACACUGUCUCCCAGAACAUCCUCAUAGACAAGCUCAGGAAGUGUGGGUUAGAUGAGUGGACAGUGAAGUGGAUUGAGAACUGGCUGAAUGGCAGAGCUCAGAGGGUUGUGAUCAGCGGCGCAGAGUCUAGUUGGAGGCCUGUAGCUAGCGGUGUCCCCCGGGGUCAGUACUGGGUCCAGUCUUGUUCMACUUCUUCAUCAAUGACCUGGAUGAAGGGACAGAGUGCACCCUCAGCAAGUUUGCUGACGAUACAAAACUGGGAGGAGUGGCUGAUACACCAGAGGGCUGUGCUGCCAUUCAGAGAGAGCUGGACAGGCUGGAGAGGUGGGCGGAGAGGAACCUCAUGA